UACGUAGGGUGCGAGCGUUAAUCGGAAUUACUGGGCGUAAAGCGUGCGCAGGCGGUUCGCUGUGUCCGAUGUGAAAGCCCCGGGCUUAACCUGGGAAUGGCAUUGGAAACUGGCGGGCUUGAGUGUGGCAGAGGGGGGUGGGAAUUCCGCGUGUAGCAGUGAAAUGCGUAGAUAUGUGGAGGAACACCGAUGGCGAAGGCAGCCCCCCUGGGGUCAAGACUGACGCUCAUGCACGAAAGCGUGGGGAGCAAACAGG
rnacentral:rRNA from 1 species